rnacentral:rRNA from 1 species
AACGCUGGCGGCGUGCUAAUACUGCAAGUCGAGCGAAUGAUUAGAAGCUUGCUUCUAUGACGUUAGCGGCGGACGGGUGAGUAACACGUGGGCAACCUGCCUGUAAGACUGGGAUAACUUCGGGAAACCGAAGCUAAUACCGGAUAGGAUCUUCUCCUUCAUGGGAGAUGAUUGAAAGAUGGUUUCGGCUAUCACUUACAGAUGGGCCCGCGGUGCAUUAGCUAUUUGGUGAGGUAACGGCUCACCAAGGCAACGAUGCAUAGCCGACCUGAGAGGGUGAUCGGCCACACUGGGACUGAGACACGGCCCAAACUCCUACGGGAGGCAGCAGUAGGGAAUCUUCCGCAAUGGACGAAAGUCUGACGGAGCAACGCCGCGUGAGUGAUGAAGGCUUUCGGGUCGUAAAACUCUGUUGUUAGGGAAGAACAAGUACAGAGUAACUGCUCGUACCUUGACGGUACCUAACCAGAAAGCCACGGCUAACUACUUGCCAGCAGCCGCGGUAAUACGUAGGUGGCAAGCGUUAUCCGGAAUUAUUGGGCGUAAAGCGCGCGCAGGCGGUUUCUUAAUUCUGAUGUGAAACCCCCGCUCACCGUGGAAGGUCAUUGGAACUGGGGACUUGAUUGCAAAAAAAAAACCGAAUUCCCCUUUUACCGUGAAAUGCUUAAAAUUUUGAAGAACCCAUUGCGAAGGCGCUUUUUGGUUUGUAAUGAAGGUGAGGGGGAAAGCGUGGGGGCAAACAGGAUUAGAUACCCUGGUAUUCCAAGCCGUAAACGAUGAGUGGUAAGUGUUAGAGGUUUUCGCCCUUUAGUGGUGCAGUAAAGCAUUAAGCAUCCGCCUGGGGAGUACGGUCGCAAGAAUGAAANUCAAAGGAAUUGACGGGGGCCCGCACAAGCGGUGGAGCAUGUGGUUUAAUUUGAAGCAACGCGAAGAACCUUACCAGGUUUUGACAUCCUUUGACAACUUUAGAGAUAGAGCGUUCCCCUUCGGGGGACAGAGUGACAGGUGGUGCAUGGUUGUUGUCAGCUUGUGUUGUGAGAUGUUGGGUUAAGUCCCGCAACGAGCGCAACCCUUGAUUUUAGUUGCCAGCAUUUAGUUGGGCACUUUAAGGUGACUGCCGGUGACAAACCGGAGGAAGGUGGGGAUGAAGUCAAAUCAUCAUGCCCCUUAUGACCUGGGGUACACACGUGCUACAAUGGAUGGUACAAAGGGCUGCAAGACCGCGAGGUCAAGCCAAUCCCAUAAAACCAUUUUCAGUUCGGAUUGUAGGCUGCAAAUUGCCUACAUGAAGCUGGAAUCGCUAGUAAUUGCGGAUCAGCAUGCCGCGGUGAAUACGUUCCCGGGCCUUGUACACACCGCCCGUCACACCACGAGAGUUUGUAACACCCGAAGUCGGUGGAGUAACCGUAAGGAGCUAGCCGCCUAAGGUGGGACAGAUGAUUGGG